UACAGGGGGGGCAAGCGUUGUUCGGAAUUACUGGGCGUAAAGGGCUCGUAGGCGGCCAACUAAGUCACACGUGAAAUCCCCAGGCUUAACCUGGGAACUGCGUGUGAUACUGGAUGGCUUGAAUCCGGGAGAGGGAUGCGGAAUUCCAGGUGUAGCGGUGAAAUGCGUAGAUAUCAGGAGGAACACCGGUGGCGAAGGCGGUUCUCUGGGCAUUACCUGACGCUGAGGAGCGAAAGUGUGGGGAGCGAACAGG
rnacentral:rRNA from 1 species